rnacentral:rRNA from 1 species
UCGAGAAUCUUCCGCAAUGGACGAAAGUCUGACGGAGCGACGCCGCGUGGUGGAUGAAGCACUUUGGUGCGUAAACACCUUUUAUGAGGGAGGAAUUUUAUUGACGUUACCUCAUGAAUAAGGGGCUCCUAACUCUGUGCCAGCAGGAGCGGUAAUACAGAGGCCCCAAGCGUUAUCCGGAAUCACUGGGCGUAAAGGGUGUCGAGGCGGUUGUAUUAGUCGUUCGUAAAAUCUACGAGCUUAACUUGUAGGCGGCGAACGAAACGGUACGACUUGAGGUUUGGAGAGGUGCGUGGAACUCACGGUGUAGGGGUGAAAUCCGUUGAUAUCGUGGGGAACACCAAAGGCGAAGGCAGCGCACUGGCCAAAAUCUGACGCUCACACACGAAAGCUAGGGUAGCGAAGAGGAUUAGAUACCCAGGUAGUCCCUGAGCGGGCUGGCAAGGCGCAU